rnacentral:snRNA from 1 species
ACUCUCACUUCAGCAACAUGAAUAAUAAGAUUGGAACCAUACAGAGCUUAUCAUGACCCCUGUGCAAGGAUGGCACACAAACUCAGAAGCACUCCAUAUGAAA